CCACCCCCUGUAACAGCAACUCCAUGUGGAAGUGCCCACUGGUUUCCAGUGGGGCUGCUGUUAUCUGGGGUGCAGGCUGGCACCCACGGAGGAAGAGAAGCCACGGCCACCCAGCACGCCAGCAGAGACGCGGCAGCCCUUGGGCCUGGGAAUGAAAGCAGCGGGCCGCCGAGAUGGAGUGCACAGGGCUCUGACCUAUGAAUUGACAGCCAGUGCUCUGGUCUCUCCUCUGGCUGCCAAUUCCAUAGGUCACAGACCCUGGACCUGUGAACAUCUUUCCUUGCUGGCUUCCUCCCAUUCUCAGAAUCCUGAUUGCCUCCCGGAUACCUGCCUGAGCCUCGGGAAACUGCCGAGUCACUUGCCCCACCCACUUCCCUGGUGCAGGUGGCUUGUUAGUGACCCUGUCAUACCUCAUCACCAGCAUCGAUUCCCUUUACCAACUGUGGACCCCUGGGAGUGAUAGCCAUUGACUGUUUCCUGUAGCCUCAGAGAUUAACACAAGAAUUGCUUAAUAAACGCUUAUAGGAGGACCCACCACUUUGUGUGAAUAGAGAUUUUUAGGGAGGGACAUUUCGAAGUAGGGUUGAUAUAGUGCCUGGGGACAGGAGAUCCUUAAGUGCCAGUGGUUGUCUUCCCCACCACUGCCGUCAUGGCACACAUGUUGAACCACCAAGCAUCCCGGGAGCGUGUGCAAAUAAUUCACAUUCCCACAGCAAAGAACGGGCCAGUAAGUCAGAGUUGGGCGAACAUGACCAAGAAAGAUUCCUGAGAGGUGAACCUGAGUUCAGCUUUUGCUGCAGUGAAGGAUGGCAACUGGACAGGAGCACAAACAUACAGAAAGGAGAGAAAGCUUGGUGAGACCACUAGGCAGCCGCGGAGGAGGCAGCUUGCUCUUCUGCAAGCAUCAUUCCCCGGAACCACCACCAGGGGGUGCCAGGGACACAGCUACCGAGCUGGACCUGUUAGGUGCCCCAAGGCAGUCUACCUCUUGGGCUUCUGCUGCUUCCUAAACCAAGCGCAGCACCUCCCUGAGGUCUCUCCUGGCGCCUCUGAACUGUACCAAGCCACACUUUUAUCCUUCACUGAGUGGGUUUGAAAAUGGGUCCCCGGGCUGGAGAGAUGGCUCAGAGGUUAAGAUCCCUGGCUGCUCUUCCAGAGGUCCUGAGUUCAAUUCCCAGCAACCACGUGGUGGCUCACAACCAUCUGAAAUGUGAUCUGGUCCCCUCCUCUG